AUUAAAAAUAGUAUUUACUAUUCAUCUUCUUCUCCCUGCCAACCUCUGCUCAGGAUUGUAAAAAAACACAACCACUUUCUCAGCUUUAACUACAUCUCUAUUCUCUACUAUAAAGCCAUUUCCCAACCUGUACAUUCCAGAAACACAGGUCAUUUCAUUCUCCACCAGUCCCCAAAUAUUCAUCGUAAUCGUAGACAUCAACCAAAAAGAGAAAAACCUAUAAGUGAAGUAUUAAAAGGGUGAAAUCAAGAUCUACCCCAGAUACCGUGAAAGGGGCAGGAGGAGAGUGCCACAAUUUUGUGGUAUAUCCCCUCACACAUUCUUAUGUUAUUGUCGUUUACUCUCCAAGAAGUCAUGUACUUUGACUAUUGCAAGUCUCUGAACCUCCCUGGGAGGACUACACAGCUCUGUACAACUGUGAAGUUCCUGCAUCAUCGAUCACCCAACAGCCAUUCUCCAAGGACAUUGCAGAGAGAUUCUGGGAGUCACCAUCUAUGAAGCUCAAGGGCAUAAGCUCAGCGAUCCCCAGGAUGCAGUUUCGGGCAUCCUCUCCUACAAGUGUCUGCAGACCAUGAUGCUGAAGGAUCAUAUCGCCCACACCUGAAUGACCCUCCAGAGGAGCAAGGCAACUUCUCCCUUGUGCUUGUCCAGCAGCCUGUUCCCUCCUUCUGAUCUCCUGUGCUGAUUCAGCCAAUCUGCUCAAAUUGAUGCAAGAAUCAACCUGCAUCAAGGCGCCACUGUGGUUUAUCUAAGUGUCACCCCCUUCAAAGCUGAAAAAUACACAGGAACAUCAUCAACGGUGCUUAGUACUUCUCAUGUGGCCCCAUGAUCAUCAUGUUUGAGAUACUUCUGCAAGAAGCUCCAAACAGUGAACUACUGAGAGAACACUUGUGGGAAUAUUUGCAGAGACAAACAAAUGUCAUCUUAAAAUACCAGCUACUGUAACUUACCCACAACAAGUAGGCUUCUUGGUCUGUAUUAACCCUGUAGGUACUAUUGUUGAAAUAGGCAUCUCCCCUACUCAGGAAUGUGGGCAAAUCUGAUCAUGCCUCUUUAAGGUUCUAAUUUGACAGAAGCACGUGAAUAAGCAAUCAUUUAGAAGAGUAUAUGCCUCCAAAUCAGAGCAAUACAAAUAAGAGCAGGGAAAGCUAUUUCACUUCACUGCUCAUUUCCCAAGUAUCCAAGUAAAACACUUCCUUAAAGUGUCACAUGCAUUAAAACACAAAGGAGAAAAACAGGCAGAGGUAAGCAAAGUUUAAAUCUGUAAAUCUGUUCUUUAAGACUCCAAUUAAUAAAAACUCAGGGAUUCUACUUGGAAUAUCCUACCCAUAACAUCAUAAUGUCAAUAAUCCAACAGUCAAGAGCCCCAGAAUCAGGGUCUAGAAUGCCAGAUGAAGAAUAGAGAGGAAUCCCCGUGAAUCCUGGGGUUUUGUAUAAUGGCAAACACUAAGAAGUAAGAUAGAAAGAGUGAAAUCCUAUUGACACUGUUGAGUCUGGACACCAUCCUAAAAAUGUCCUGUUUCACUAAUUGGAAGGGCAUCCAAGUAAGGAGAAGCUUGAUGCCAUAUGACAACAUCAGGUACUCAGCUCAUUUCUCUCUCUCUUUCUCUCUCUUUUCCUUUACGUCACCAAGGACAAACUCAGGAUGUUGACAGGACAGACUUUUGUAGGCAAACGGUUUGGCCAAUCUCUCACCAGUAUAUUAACCACAUGGGCAAAGAAAAUAUUUUUUCAAAAUGGAUGUUUUUGCUUUAGGGUGGAGGGAUAUGAUAUUUUUCUUUCUAUCUUAAUUUCCUUCCAUGUUUAUGUUUAAAAUUACUUAGUAAGUAAAAGUAAUGGUUAUGUUAGAUAAAAUUCAUUCACCACCCUUAAUAUGACUCAGUGACUCAAAGACAAAGUUCCAGAGCAAAGGGUCAAUCUUGUGAGAGAGGUCAUGCAGAAUUUACAAAACAAAAUUUAUACAGAACACUCAGAAGUAUAAAAAAGAUGAAGUUCAUUAUUGUUUAUAAUUACUCACUUACUCUGAAGCUACCUUUCCUCCUGCUGGCAGAGAAAAAUUCAAAUUAAUUAAAUUAAUUUUAAUUAAGGGCAACUGACUUUGUUCCUGUUUAAAACAUUUCACUUUGGGAUUAACUCAGCUUCAUUUGGGUAAAUUGCCCAGGAAAUUCAAAGACUGCUUCCCUCCUCUCUUAAGGGGUCACUUUGCCCAUAUCUUCUUCCCAAGGUGAUAUCUGGGGGCAGAGAAAAGCUGGCAUAUAGUCCUUGGAGUCCUGAGUCUUCAGCUACACGCUGGUUUUGUCCCUGAAUGUCCUUGGCUGGUGUUUACUUAGGUGUGGCCAAUUUCACUGUCCUUUAUGGGCAUCCGCUGGCAUCUGCUGCUGAUGUCCAAGGUCUCUGGGUCCCUCAAAUCACCAGCCCUCUAUGGUUUGUGGCCUCUUGCUUCUUAGCCCUGAAGUCUAUACCAAGACAACAUUGUUCUCAGCACCUUGGUGUCCUCUCCCUGGGGCAGACAGGAACUCUGGGCCAUAAGGAACCCUCUACCCUGGAAGAGGGAUGGUGGAAGUUUCACCACUUCCCUACCACAGUAGUCACAGGGGGGACACGGGGGACAAGUCAAGAUGUGUUGACUCUCCCUCAAGCUAUCUGGGCUUUCUGUGAGGGUUUCCAAUGCCUCAUCACACCCUGCCCCAAUUUUGCUUAAGUAAGGUGGGGUUGGGGAGGAAACAGUCAUUUCUCAGUGACCAAGCUGCGGUACACAUCCUGGUUGUGCCCUCUCAAAAUCUCCCUUCCUUCUCCAGGGCAAUGGUUUCUAUUUUCUCUUCCUGUCUGGUGGAAAUUUCCCACAAGUCAUUUCUCCUGCCUGCUCUCCACUUGUGGCUUUGAUCCUCUGUGACCUAGCCUGGCUUUCUAUAUGUUAAUGGAAACCUCCAAGAAUUUUAAAAACUUUUUUCUCUCUCCAUGAAGC
rnacentral:lncRNA from 10 species